AUUGAACGCUGGCGGCAUGCUUUACACAUGCAAGUCGAACGGUAACAGGCCGCAAGGUGCUGACGAGUGGCGGACGGGCGGGUAAGGCAUCGGAACGUGCCCAGUCGUGGGGGAUAACUACUCGAAAGAGUAGCUAAUACCGCAUACGAUCUAUGGAUGAAAGCGGGGGACCGUAAGGCCUCGCGCGGUUGGAGCGGCCGAUGUCGGAUUAGGUAGUUGGUGGGGUAAAGGCUCACCAAGCCAACGAUCUGUACCUGGUCUGAGAGGACGACCAGCCACACUGGAACUGGGACAGCGACAAGAGGCCUAAGGGAGGGCGCAGUGGGGAAUUGUGGGCAAUGGGCGCAAGCCUGAUCCAGCAAGGCCGCGUGCAGGAAGAAGGCCUUCGGGUUGUAAACUGCGUUUGUACGGAACGAAACGGCUCUGGUUAAUACGCGGGGUUAAUGACGGUACCGGAAGAAGAAGCACCGGCUAACUACGUG
rnacentral:rRNA from 1 species